GACGAACGCUGGCGGCGUGCCUAAUACAUGCAAGUAGAACGCACAGUUUAUACCGUAGCUUGCUACACCAUAGACUGUGAGUUGCGAACGGGUGAGUAACGCGUAGGUAACCUGCCUGGUAGCGGGGGAUAACUAUUGGAAACGAUAGCUAAUACCGCAUAAUAUUGAUUAUUGCAUGAUAAUUGAUUGAAAGAUGCUAUUGCAUCACUACCAGAUGGACCUGCGUUGUAUUAGCUAGUAGGUGAGGUAACGGCUCACCUAGACGACGAUACAUAGCCGACCUGAGAGGGUGAUCGGCCACACUGGGACUGAGACACGGCCCAGACUCCUACGGGAGGCAGCAGUAGGGAAUCUUCGGCAAUAGACGAAAGUCUGACCGAGCAACGCCGCGUGAGUGAAGAAGGUUUUCGGAUCGUAAAGCUCUGUUGUAAGAGAAGAACGGGUGUGAGAGUGGAAAGUUCACACUGUGACGGUAUCUUACCAGAAAGGGACGGCUAACUACGUG
rnacentral:rRNA from 1 species